rnacentral:rRNA from 1 species
CCUACGGGAGGCAGCAGUAAGGAAUAUUGGACAAUGGGCGCAAGCCUGAUCCAGCCAUUCCGCGUGCAGGAUGACGGCCCUCUGGGUUGUAAACUGCUUUUAUUUGGGAAGAAACCCUGGGAUUUAUCCCGGGCUGACGGUACCAAAAGAAUAAGCACCGGCUAAUUCCGUGCCAGCAGCCGCGGUAAUACGGAAGGUGCAAGCGUUAUCCGGAAUCACUGGGUUUAAAGGGUGCGUAGGCGGUUACGUCAGUCAGAAGUGAAAGUUCACAGCUUAACUGUGGAAUUGCUUUUGAUACUGCGUAACUAGAAUCAGGUUGAGGUUGGCGGAAUGUGACAUGUAGCGGUGAAAUGCAUAGAUAUGUCAUAGAACACCAAUUGCGAAGGCAGCUGACUAGACCUGCAUUGACGCUGAGGCACGAAAGCGUGGGGAGCGAACAGGAUUAGAUACCCUGGUAGUCCACGCCCUAAACGAUGCUUACUCGAUGUGUGAAUUAUUGCGCAUCCAAGGGAAACCGUUAAGUAAGCCACCUGGGGAGUACGUUCGCAAGAAUGAAACUCAAAUGAAUUGACGGA